AAUGAACGCUGGCGGCAGGCCUAACACAUGCAAGUCGAACGGAUCCUUCGGGAUUAGUGGCGGACGGGUGAGUAACGCGUGGGAACGUACCCCUUUCUUCGGAAUAGCCUCGGGAAACUGGGAGUAAUACCGGAUAAGCCCUAUUGGGGAAAGAUUUAUCGGGAAGGGAUCGGCCCGCGUUGGAUUAGGUAGUUGGUGGGGUAAUGGCCUACCAAGCCGACGAUCCAUAGCUGGUUUGAGAGGAUGAUCAGCCACACUGGGACUGAGACACGGCCCAGACUCCUACGGGAGGCAGCAGUGGGGAAUCUUAGACAAUGGGGGAAACCCUGAUCUAGCCAUGCCGCGUGAUCGAUGAAGGCCUUAGGGUUGUAAAGAUCUUUCAGUGGGGAAGAUAAUGACGGUACCCACAGAAGAAGCCCCGGCUGACUCCGUGCCAGCAGCCGCGGUAAU
rnacentral:rRNA from 1 species